rnacentral:tRNA from 1 species
GUCUUCGUGGUGUAAUGGUUAACACACUCGGCGCGUAUUCGAGAAGUCCGUGGUUCAAGUCCCGGCGAGGACA